UGUGGUAGUGGCUUUCUUGCAACAAUGUACUUGAGGUCGAUAGACGAUCAAUGUGUGAGUAAAGAGCGAGUACAAAUAGUAUAGUGAUGAUAACAUUGGGUUCGAGAUGCUUGAGGUUGUAUUUUGUUGAAAAUACAAUAAAGAAUAAGAAAAAUUGUUACAAAUGUUAUAAAGAAGACAUUUAUUUAGUGAAUCAAUUAUAAUUUGUGUGGAAAUCUCAAAUUUUGAGUUAUAUAUAUACUUUCUUUCCAUGUAUAGUUAUUCUUCAUUAAUCUAAUCCUUAUAUUUAUAAUGAUUAUAUUUAGUACUA